rnacentral:lncRNA from 1 species
AAAUAUACUAGAAAGGAUCGUGAGAAAUUUUUUGGAUUUUGUAUUUCUUCAACCUGUCAUUACAAAGCUACUGUACAAGCAAAUAUAUUCAAACGUCCUAGGGAUUGAAUGGUAAUAAAAUCAACUAAGUACUUGCCUAGUACAUACAGCUGUAUAACAUAAAAUAGGACAUGUACUAUUUCUAGAGUACUGUACUCUAAAAUAUCUGUACAUGUAUAUGUAUUUACAAGGAAAUUGUUCUACUAGAACUGGACCUCUAUUGUUUCUGUUGUUGAAGCC